CACAGGAGUGAUAUAAGCACUGGGCGGGGGGGGGGGUUGGGAGGAAUGAGCAGGCACAGCAUUAGUCACAUAUAAGAACCCACCUAAGCUCUACAGUGAGACAAUGGAGAGAGGCGUGCAUAUCCCCCAGCAAAAACAAUGUAUGGGAGCAGAGGUGGGAUGAAGUGUGGCUUCUUGGUCUUCUUGGUGUUUAUUAUGGUUUUACCUCAUAGUUUAAACUUUAUGGGAAGUUUUUUGGGGGGAAGCUGUCGAAACAAGGUGUCUCGGUGUAACCCUAGCUGUCCCGGAACUUACUCUGUAGACCAGGCUGCCUGGAACUCAGAGAUCUGCCUGCCUCUGCCCUCAGAGUGCUGGGAUUAAAGGCAUGCACCAUCCCCUGCCUGUAAGCUUUGGGUUCUAUUCAGUCAAAGUUUGCAUGGUGCUUCAUGUCCCAACCUUCAUAAGGUUCUGAUCUCUUCUCUAAGGGGUUCGGCUGAUAAUCGUAGGUGAGUGGAGCCUCAUUUGAGAGUUCUUAGCUUGUCCAACGUUUGGUAGCCACGUCUGUGGAUCCAGAUCAGGCAGCAACUGCACCUAUAGACUCUUUCUCUCAGUUCACUGCGACUGCAGCUCUGUCUUUCAAGCGUUUCUCUUAGCCUUCUCAGGUGCCAGUUAGGACUGAGAGGUCUGAUCCGUCCUUUUGAGGGGGUAAUAAUUAUUCAUUUAAGAAGUAUUCAGCCCCCAUGCAAAAUUCAAUUCUAUUAAAUUUGAGUAACUACUACAACAUUCACAACACAGAAAAGGUGUUUUCUUACUCAGAUGCCUGAGGAACAUCAUUGGGUGUGCUGGGGAAGCAUGCUUUACAUAAACCUAGACUUGGGAUUUCUUCCUAGGAGCUCCAUUCUUACCACUCAUGUCCUUAGAAAGGGUGUCAUGCAGGGCUGAGCCUCCUGGUGCUCAGAGGGGUAGACAGGGAGAAUCCUAGUAGAAAUUAAGGGAGGUUUAUUAUUACUGUGCUGGGGGUGCCUCUCCCACCUGCUGGCUCCCUUUUUGUUGCUGUUUGGGGUUAAGUUGGGCUUGUGAUGUGGCUGGUGUUUGUCUGCAUUAAGCAUCCAUCCCCUCCCCACCCCCCAACCCCGCCUCACAUCUGGCCAUUGUCCCCCUCCCAAGUGACAUUUCUAUAGAAGACAGAGGGGAGGGAGAGAUGGGAAGGGAUGUGCCCCAGGGGACUCUGAUUACUGUAAUUUGAGGAACAAGUACAGGGGAUAAGAUUCCUGUUUUCUACUAAAUUAACAUUUAGGUUUGUAGUAAUUAGUUGGGAACUCUUGUAACUUCCACUGUGAAAGAAUGAAGUCCUUGUGUGGUAACGGAGGCUUUACAGGAGAUUCUAACAGCUCUGUUUAGGGUUCAAAACAGAAAGGAGUACAUUUGGCUGUUCUUUUUUGUUGUUGUUGUUGUUUGUUUGUUUGUUUUUUCUUGGUUUCUUUUUUCUGCUUUGUCUUGUUUUUUUUCUUCUGUUUUGUUUUGUUUUGUUUUUUAAACUAUUGUCGCACUGAGCCAUAACUCCAGCUCCCGCUUUGCCUCUUUCUCCCUGAUGGUUCUUCUGACUUCUCCAAGACCUCCCCCUAGAAGACACCAACCUUGGGUAUUUGACCCUCACGUGAUUGAGAGCUCCUUGCUAGUGUUUGUGAGCCCUUGGAGGCCCAUUUCCUAUAUUGUAUCAAAGAUGGUUCUCUCAGAAAGCACUUGGGAAACAGUGCAAGGCCUGAAUCAGACCGGAAACGGUCAAAGUGGAAUGCUCAUUGAGACGCUGCAUCUGCAAAGGUGGCAUUUUUCAAUUUUACCCCCAAAACUAAAAAUGUUAGGAUAAAUGAUAGUGCCUAAGAAAAGGUAAUUUGGGAAGUUUACCCAGUGUGGGGGAAAAAAAGCAGAUCUGGGGAGGGCCUGAGGGCCAGGUUUAGAGGCACAGGAUAGAGAAAGGUUGUGAGAAGUUUUGAGUGCUAAAUGAUGUCAGCAGAGACAAUGGAAUGAAGAGUUUGAUUAUUCUUGGUGGCUAAGUCAUUUUUCUUUUUUUUUUUUUUUUUUUGGUUCUUUUUUUAGGGGCUGGGGACCGAACCCAGGGCCUUGCGCUUCCUAGGUAAGCGCUCUACCACUGAGCUAAAUCCCCAGCCCCGUCAUUUUUCUUUGAAUACAAAGUAGUAACAAGAGAGCCACGGUAGAUCCUCUCAAAUACGAUCCGAGCUCUGCAAACACCUGUGGUCUGGUUUAUUCUGUAUCCAUCUAAUCUGCAAUUGAUGCUCUCAAGAUGUGUCAUCAUUUCAUACGCCUGCCUUUGAGUAAGAGAAAAACACCUCAGAUUAAUGUUUUAACAAAUCGUCGAUAUAAGACAGAUGGGUUUCUGAGCUGUCAAAAGGCAGAACCCCGUGUUUCAGUUCAGACCACAGAAAGUGCUGGAAUAAAAUGAUACGGCGCUGAGAGCGGUUCUCGCUAGCCGACGGGGCCCUGAGCUGCUUUUGUCGUCUCUAUACUCUGUCGUCUCUGUACUUUCACAUGUUUUAUUUCCUCGAGGUCAUGAAUUGCUUUCCUAAUUAAAAUGAAAACAUGAUUCCGAUGGUUUGUGUGGAAAUUCACCAGGAACCAUAGUCUGUGGUUCUGAGAACAGCUUCUUUUGUUGGCCAGAAUCCUGUGACUGCCUUGGCUCCCAGAAAACUGAAGCCCAGCAAGAAAGUCUUUGAAGUCACUACAGGCUGUGUUCUUCAGGUUUCUGAGGAUCCAUCAUUGAAGCUACAGACUGUGUCCAUCAAGUGACCUGGUCCAGAGGAUAUUCCACAGGGUGCAUUCCUGGCCAGUGCCCCUGGUCUAGUAAGUGGAAGCCCGAGAACAGCAAGACUUCAUCUUCUACAGAAUCCAGGGUGUCCAUAUUUGCAUGCAUCCUCUAGCCUUUGGAAGUUCUGAGCCUUCAUCUGGUGAACCCUGAAGAGUCCUUGUGACUUCACAAUGGGGUUCUCUUUCCGAGCAUCACCUAGGACUGUGCAGGAACACUGAAAGGCUUGAUAACUGGUUCUGGUUAUACAUUAGUUUUCCUCAGAUGAUAACAGAAGCUUGGAAAUAGAUACAAACAGCAUCCUCUGUAAACUCUCCUGUGGAUAUGACCGACGUAUGUGCGUAUGUGGAUAUUACUCCUCACUGACAUGUUCCAGAGAUAUGCCUCCUUCUCUCAGAAAAGAUUCCUUUGCCUGAAACCAGUACCAGACAUGGACCCAACAGUAAUGACAAAAAUAUAGAACAGUGUCCCUGAUGAGCACAGGUGGGAAAGAAAUCCUUCAUAGAAUACUUGCAGAUCUGAGAACAUAUCCAGUCAUCCUUCAAGGUGAAGUGCACCUGUACUGUUUGGAAGUUGUGGCCACGUCAUCUUUCAUGAUUGGGCAAGCCUGCUUUUGUACACAAAAGAAACGCACACCUAAUAAAGUUAAGUUCAUUUUCUGGGCAAAGGCACUCACUAAAUCCUCAGAAACCUGAAGAACACAGCCUGUAGUGACUUCAAAGACUUUCUUGCUGGGCUUCAGUUUUCUCGGAGCCAAGGCAGUCACAGGAUUCUGGCCAACAAAAGAAGCUGUUCUCAGAACCACAGACUAUGGUUCCUGGUGAAUUUCCACACAAGGCAUUGGAACCAUGUUGUUGUGGAAGAAAGGAGUCAUUGAUGAAGUUCACCAAGGUCUUAUGGUAAAAGCCUCUUAAAUGAAUAAUAAUAAUAAGAAGAAGAAGAAGAAGAAGAAGAAGAAGAAGAAGACGAGGAGGAGGAGGAGGAAGAAGAGGAAGAGAAGGAGGAAGAAGAGAGGAGGAGGAAGAGGAGGAGGAAGAAGAGGAGAGGAGGAGGAAGAGGAGGAAGAGGAAGAAGAAGAGGAGAGGAGGAGGAGGAGGAAGAGAGGAGGAGGAGAGGAGGAGGAAGAGGAGGAGGAGGAGGAGGAGGAAACACACCUCAAGGCAACAAAGGCCUAUAAGACUAAUCUACAGCCAACAUUAUACUGACUGUGGAAAUAUUUGUUUACCAGGAAACUGGGAAAAAGGCCAAGGGUGCCCUCCUCUCUCCAUUCUUAUUCAAUAUGGUACUGGAAGUUGUGUGAUAUUGUAAGGCAAAAGAAAACAAUGAAUACAUGCAAAUAGAGAAGCCAAAGGAGUCUUAUGCACUCCUGAAGAAUCUGUCUGAAAACUCUUCAGGUCUGACAAACUCUUUCAGCAAAGUUGCAGGAUAUGUAGCAAACACACAAGGGCUGGGAACAUGGGUUGAAUGGUGGAAUGGCUGCAUGUCGUGAAAGUUUGAUCCUUAACCCGAAUAACCAGGUACGUUAGCACAUCUGUAAUCGCAGCAGUGAAGAAGCAGAGACAAGGAGGGUCAGAAGUUCAAGGUUAUCCUUGUCACAGGGCAAGUUUGUGGCCACCUUGGGCUACCCAAGACCCUGUCUUGAAGAAAAAACUAAAUUAAAAAAACAAACAAAAUAAAAAUAAACUCUGCCUGCGAAAACUAAGAGUGAAAUAAGCCAGACUCAUAAAGACAGCUACCACACAAA